AUACAAUGGCCGGUACAAAGGGCUGCGAUACCGCGAGGUGGAGCGAAUCCCAGAAAGCCGGUCUCAGUUCGGAUUGGGGUCUGCAACUCGACCCCAUGAAGUCGGAAUCGCUAGUAAUCGCGGAUCAGCAUGUCGCGGUGAAUACGUUCCCGGGUCUU
rnacentral:rRNA from 1 species